ACCCCAACUUGGACAAACUUGAAAACUGGGCCCAUAAUCAAAAAUCUAAACACAUGUUUAGAUUCAGCAUAUCAAAGAACCCCAAGAAUUCAAUUUUUGUUAAAAUCAAACUAAGUUUAAUUUUGGACCCUUUGGACCUUAAUGUAGACCAAUUUAAAAAACGGGACUUAAAAUUAAAAAUCUAAAUACACGGUUAGAUUUGGAAUAUCAAAGAACCCCAAUAAUUCAAUUUUUGAUCAAAUCAAACAAAGUUUAAUUUUGGACCCUUUUGACCUCAAUAUGAACCAAUUUGAUAGCGGGGCCCACAAAUAAAAAAUCUAAAUUCAUGGUUAGAUUCAGCAUAUCAAAGAACCCCAUAUAUUCAAUUUUUGUUGAAAUCAAAAAAAGUUUAAUUUUGGACCCCAACUUGGACCAACUUGAAAACUGGGCCCAUAAUCAAAAAUCUAAACACAUGUUUAGAUUCAGCAUAUCAAAGAACCCCAAGAAUUCAAUUUUUGUUAAAAUCAAACUAAGUUUAAUUUUGGACCCUUUGGACCUCAAUGAAGACCAAUUUAAAAAACGGGACCCAAAUUAAAAAUCUAAAAACACGGUUAGAUUUGGCAUAUCAAAGAACCCCAAUAAUUCAAUUUUCGAUGAAAUCAAACAAAGUUUAAUUUUGGACCCUUUUGACCUCAAUAUGAACCAAUUUGAUAGCGGGGCCUACAAAUAAAAAAUCUAAAUACAUGGUUAGAUUCAGCAUAUCAAAGAACCUCAUAUAUUCAAUUUUUGUUGAAAUCAAACAAAGUUUAAUUUUGGACCCCAAUUUGGACCAACUUGAAAACUGGGCCCAUAAUCAAAAAUCUAAAUACAUGUUUAGAUUCAGCAUAUCAAAGAACCCCAUAUAUUCAAUUUUUGUUGAAAUCAAACAAAGUUUAAAUACUGGACCCUAUCUUGGACCAACAUGAAAACUGGGCCCAUAAUCAAAAAUCUAAACACAUGUUUAGAUUCAGCAAAUCAAAGAACCCCAAGAAUUCAAUUUUUGUCAAAAUCAAACUAAGUUUAAUUUUGGACCCUUUGGACCUCAAUGUAGACCAAUUUAAAAAACAGGACCCAAAAUUAAAAACCUAAAUACACGGUUAGAUUUGGAAUAUCAAAGAACCCCAAUAAUUCAAUUUUAGAUGAAAUCAAACAAAGUUUAAUUUUGGACCCUUUUGACCUCAAUAUGAACCAAUUAGAUAACGGGGUCCACAAAUAAAAAAUCUAAAUACAUGGUUAGAUUCAGCAUAUCAAAGAACCCCAUAUAUUCAAUUUUUGUUGAAAUCAAACAACGUUUAAUUUUGGACCACAAUUUGGACCAACUUGAAAACUGGGCCAAAAAUCAAAAAUCUAAAUACAUGUUUAGAUUCAGCAUAUCAAAGAACCUCAUAUAUUCAAUUUUUGCUAAAAUCAAACAAAGUUUAAUUUUGGACCCUUUGGACAUUAAUGUAGACCAAUUUGAAAACUGGACCCAAAAUUAACAAGAGUGCACACGCUGAAAUGUCUCGCCUUCUUUACUAAUCAUUGAUAUUAUGUUGAUAGUCCUAAAUAUAAAGCUUUAUUACAACUGUCACAUAAACUUAACAUUAACCAAGAAAACUAAACAUUGACCAAUGAACCAUGAAAAUGAGGUCAAGGUCAGAUGAACCAUGCUAGGCAGGCAUGUACAGCUAACAAUUCUUCCAUACAACAAAUAUAGUUGACCUAUUGCUUAUAGUUUAAGAAAAACAGACGAAAACACAAAAACUUAACACUGAGCAAUGAACCUUGAAAAUGAGGUCAAGGUCAAAUAAAACCUGCGUGACUGACAUAUAGAUCAUAAAAUAUUUCCAUACACCAAAUAUAGUUGAACUAUUGCAUAUAGUAUUAGAAAAAAAGACCAAAACUCAAAAACUUAACUUUGACCACUGAACCAUGAAAAUGAGGUCAAGGUCAGAUGACACCUGCCAGCUAGACAUGUACACCUUACAAUCAUUCCAUACACCAAAUAUAGUAGACCUAUUGCAUACAGUAUAAGAAAAACAGACCAAAACACAAAAACUUAACUAUAACCACUGAACCAUGAAAAUGAGGUCAAGGUCAGAUGACACCUGCCAGCUAGACAUGUACACCUUACAAUCAUUCCAUACACCAAAUAUAGUAGACCUAUUGCAUACAGUAUAAGAAAAACAGACCAAAACACAAAAACUUAACUAUAACCACUGAACCAUGAAAAUGAGGUCAAGGUCAGAUGACACCUGCCAGUUGGACAUGUACACCUUACAGUCCUUCCAUACACCGAAUAUACUAGACCUAUUGCUUAUAGUAUCUGAGAUAUGGACUUGACCACGAAAACUUAACCUUGUUCACUGAUCCAUGAAAUGAGGUCGUGGUCAAGUGAAAACUGUCUGACGGGCAUGAGGACCUUGCAAGGUACGCACAUACCAAAUAUAGUUGAACUAUUGCACAUAGUAUUAGAAAAAAAGACCAAAACUCAAAAACUUAACUUUGACCACUGAACCAUGAAAAUAAGGUCAAGGUCAGAUGACUCCUGCCCGCUAGACAUGUACACCUUACAAUCAUUCCAUACACCAAAUAUAGUAGACCUAUGGCAUACAGUAUAAGAAAAACAGACAAAAACACAAAAACUUAACUAUAACCACUGAACCAUGAAAAUGAGGUCAAGGUCAGAUGACACCUGCCAGUUGGACAUGUACACCUUACAGUCCUUCCAUACACCGAAUAUACUAGACCUAUUGCUUAUCUGCUUAUAGUAUCUGAGAUAUGGACUUGACCACCAAAACUUAACCUUGUUCAUUGAUCCAUGAAAUGAGGUCGAGGUCAAGUGAAAACUGUCUGACGGGCAUGAGGACCUUGCAAGGUACGCACAUACCAAAUAUAGUUGAACUAUUGCACAUAGUAUUAGAAAAAAAGACCAAAACUCAAAAACUUAACUUUGACCACUGAACCAUGAAAAAGAGGUCAAGGUCAAAUGACACCUGCCCGCUAGACAUGUACACCAUACAAUCAUUCCAUACACCAAAUAUAGUAGACCUAUGGCAUACAGUAUAAGAAAAACAGACCAAAACACAAAAACUUAACUAUAACCACUGAACCAUGAAAAUGAGGUCAAGGUCAGAUGACACCUGCCAGUUGGACAUGUACACCUUACAGUCCUUCCAUACACCGAAUAUACUAGACCUAUUGCUUA